rnacentral:rRNA from 1 species
GAUGAACGCUAGCUACAGGCUUAACACAUGCAAGUCGAGGGGAAACGACAUCGAAAGCUUGCUUUUGAUGGGCGUCGACCGGCGCACGGGUGAGUAACGCGUAUCCAACCUGCCCACCACUUGGGGAUAACCUUGCGAAAGUAAGACUAAUACCCAAUGAUAUCUCUAGAAGACAUCUGAAGGAGAGUAAAGAUUUAUCGGUGAUGGAUGGGGAUGCGUCUGAUUAGCUUGUUGGCGGGGUAACGGCCCACCGAGGCGACGAUCAGUAGGGGUUCUGAGAGGAAGGUCCCCCACAUUGGAACUGAGACACGGUCCAAACUCCUACGGGAGGCAGCAGUGAGGAAUAUUAGUCAAUGGGCGAGAGCCUGAACCAGCCAAGUAGCGUGCAGGAUGACGGCCCUAUGGGUUGUAAACUGCUUUUAUAAGGGAAUAAAGUGAGUCUCGUGAGACUUUUUGCAUGUACCUUAUGAAUAAGGACCGGCUAAUUCCGUGCCAGCCGCCGCAGUAA